UGGCGGCGUGCCUAACACAUGCAAGUCGAACGGAGAAUUUCAAGAUGUUUACAUUGCGAAAUUCUUAGUGGCGGACGGGUGAGUAACGCGUGGGUAACCUACCCAUAAAGCCGGGACAACCCUUGGAAACGAGGGCUAAUACCGAAUAAUCUUAAGAGUUGGCAUCAGCUUUUAAGGAAAGGUGGCCUCUGAAAAUGCUACCGAUUAUGGAUGGACCCGCGUCUGAUUAGCUAGUUGGUGGGGUAAAGGCCUACCAAGGCGACGAUCAGUAGCCGGCCUGAGAGGGUGAACGGCCACACUGGGACUGAGACACGGCCCAGACUCCUACGGGAGGCAGCAGUGGGGAAUCUUCCGCAAUGGACGAAAGUCUGACGGAGCAACGCCGCGUGUAUGAUGAAGGUCUUCGGAUUGUAAAGUACUGUCUUUGGGGAAGAACGACUGAUUUGAAAAGAUUGAGUCAGUAUGACGGUACCCAAGGAGGAAGCCCCGGCUAACUACGUGCCAGCAGCCGCGGUAAUACGUAGGGGGCAAGCGUUGUCCGGAAUUAUUGGGCGUAAAGGGCGCGUAGGCGGAUUUUUAAGUCCAGAGUGAAAGAUCAGGGCUCAACCCUGAGAGUGCAUCGGAAACAGGGUAUCUUGAGGACAGGAGAGGAAAGUGGAAUUCCUA
rnacentral:rRNA from 1 species